UACAGAGGGUGCAAGCGUUAAUCGGAAUUACUGGGCGUAAAGCGUGCGCAGGCGGUCUGUUAAGACCGAUGUGAAAUCCCCGGGCUUAACCUGGGAACUGCAUUGGUGACUGGCAGGCUUUGAGUGUGGCAGAGGGAGGUAGAAUUCCACGUGUAGCAGUGAAAUGCGUAGAGAUGUGGAGGAAUACCGAUGGCGAAGGCAGCCUCCUGGGCCAACACUGACGCUCAUGCACGAAAGCGUGGGGAGCAAACAGG
rnacentral:rRNA from 1 species